rnacentral:rRNA from 1 species
UUGGAGGGCAAGUCUGGUGCCAGCAGCCGCGGUAAUUCCAGCUCCAAUAGCGUAUAUUAAAGUUGUUGCAGUUAAAAAGGCUCGUAGUUGAAUUUCGGGAUCAGAUUGUCGGUCGUGCCUCGGUACGCACUGGUAUUAUUGGUUCCUACCUUCUGAAGAACCGCGAUGUCAUUAAUUUGGUGUCGUGGGGAAUCAGGACUGUUACUUUGAAAAAAUUAGAGUGUUUAAAGCAGGCUUACGCUUGAAUACAUUAGCAUGGAAUAAUGAAAUAGGACGUUCGAUCCUAUUUUGUUGGUUUCUAGGAUUGACGUAAUGAUUAAUAGGGAUAGUUGGGGGCAUUAGUAUUCAAUUGUCAGAGGUGAAAUUCUUGGAUUUAUUGAAGACUAACUACUGCGAAAGCAUUUGCCAAGGAUGUUUUCAUUAAUCAAGAACGAAAGUUAGGGGAUCGAAGACGAUCAGAUACCGUCGUAGUCUUAACCAUAAACUAUGCCGACUAGGGAUCGGAUGAUGUUAAUUUUUUAAUGACUCAUUCGGCGCCUUACGGGAAACCAAAGUGUUUGGGUUC